rnacentral:tRNA from 1 species
GCCUGAGUGGCUCAGUCAGUUGAGCAUCUGACUUUGGCUCAGGUCAUGAUCUCACGGUUUGUGGGUUCGAGCCCCACGUUGGGCU